CCAGAGGUGGCGGGGUAAAUGCCGCAACUCCAUGGUAAGGAGUAGGUCGCCGGUUCAAUUCCGGCCAACGGCUCCA
rnacentral:tRNA from 5 species